UGGAUGGUUCAGAGCUUACUAA
rnacentral:siRNA from 1 species